GGUUAAGCGACUAAGCGUACACGGUGGAUGCCCUGGCAGUCAGAGGCGAUGAAGGACGUGCUAAUCUGCGAAAAGCGUCGGUAAGGUGAUAUGAACCGUUAUAACCGGCGAUGUCCGAAUGGGGAAACCCAGUGUGUUUCGACACACUAUCAUUAACUGAAUCCAUAGGUUAAUGAGGCGAACCGGGGGAACUGAAACAUCUAAGUACCCCGAGGAAAAGAAAUCAACCGAGAUUCCCCCAGUAGCGGCGAGCGAACGGGGAGGAGCCCAGAGCCUGAAUCAGUGUGUGUGUUAGUGGAAGCGUCUGGAAAGGCGUGCGAUACAGGGUGACAGCCCCGUACACAAAAAUGCACAUGCUGUGAGCUCGAUGAGUAGGGCGGGACACGUGGUAUCCUGUCUGAAUAUGGGGGGACCAUCCUCCAAGGCUAAAUACUCCUGACUGACCGAUAGUGAACCAGUACCGUGAGGGAAAGGCGAAAAGAACCCCGGCGAGGGGAGUGAAAAAGAACCUGAAACCGUGUACGUACAAGCAGUGGGAGCCUCUUUAUGGGGUGACUGCGUACCUUUUGUAUAAUGGGUCAGCGACUUAUAUUCUGUAGCAAGGUUAACCGAAUAGGGGAGCCGGAGGGAAACCGAGUCUUAACUGGGCGUUAAGUUGCAGGGUAUAGACCCGAAACCCGGUGAUCUAGCCAUGGGCAGGUUGAAGGUUGGGUAACACUAACUGGAGGACCGAACCGACUAAUGUUGAAAAAUUAGCGGAUGACUUGUGGCUGGGGGUGAAAGGCCAAUCAAACCGGGAGAUAGCUGGUUCUCCCCGAAAGCUAUUUAGGUAGCGCCUCGUGAAUUCAUCUCCGGGGGUAGAGCACUGUUUCGGCAAGGGGGUCAUCCCGACUUACCAACCCGAUGCAAACUGCGAAUACCGGAGAAUGUUAUCACGGAGAGACACACGGCGGGUGCUAACGUCCGUCGUGAAGAGGGAAACAACCCAGACCGCCAGCUAAGGUCCCAAAGUCAUGGUUAAGUGGGAAACGAUGUGGGAAGGCCCAGACAGCCAGGAUGUUGGCUUAGAAGCAGCCAUCAUUUAAAGAAAGCGUAAUAGCUCACUGGUCGAGUCGGCCUGCGCGGAAGAUGUAACGGGGCUAAACCAUGCACCGAAGCUGCGGCAGCGACGCUGAUGCGUUGUUGGGUAGGGGAGCGUUCUGUAAGCCUGUGAAGGUGUGCUGUGAGGCAUGCUGGAGGUAUCAGAAGUGCGAAUGCUGACAUAAGUAACGAUAAAGCGGGUGAAAAGCCCGCUCGCCGGAAGACCAAGGGUUCCUGUCCAACGUUAAUCGGGGCAGGGUGAGUCGACCCCUAAGGCGAGGCCGAAAGGCGUAGUCGAUGGGAAACAGGUUAAUAUUCCUGUACUUGGUGUUACUGCGAAGGGGGGACGGAGAAGGCUAUGUUGGCCGGGCGACGGUUGUCCCGGUUUAAGCGUGUAGGCUGGUUUUCCAGGCAAAUCCGGAGAAUCAAGGCUGAGGCGUGAUGACGAGGCACUACGGUGCUGAAGCAACAAAUGCCCUGCUUCCAGGAAAAGCCUCUAAGCAUCAGGUAACAUCAAAUCGUACCCCAAACCGACACAGGUGGUCAGGUAGAGAAUACCAAGGCGCUUGAGAGAACUCGGGUGAAGGAACUAGGCAAAAUGGUGCCGUAACUUCGGGAGAAGGCACGCUGAUAUGUAGGUGAAGCGACUUGCUCGUGGAGCUGAAAUCAGUCGAAGAUACCAGCUGGCUGCAACUGUUUAUUAAAAACACAGCACUGUGCAAACACGAAAGUGGACGUAUACGGUGUGACGCCUGCCCGGUGCCGGAAGGUUAAUUGAUGGGGUCAGCGCAAGCGAAGCUCUUGAUCGAAGCCCCGGUAAACGGCGGCCGUAACUAUAACGGUCCUAAGGUAGCGAAAUUCCUUGUCGGGUAAGUUCCGACCUGCACGAAUGGCGUAAUGAUGGCCAGGCUGUCUCCACCCGAGACUCAGUGAAAUUGAACUCGCUGUGAAGAUGCAGUGUACCCGCGGCAAGACGGAAAGACCCCGUGAACCUUUACUAUAGCUUGACACUGAACACUGGUCCUUGAUGUGUAGGAUAGGUGGGAGGCUUUGAAGUGUGGACGCCAGUCUGCAUGGAGCCGUCCUUGAAAUACCACCCUUUAAUGGCUGGUGUUCUAACGUAGGCCCCUUAUCGGGGUUGCGGACAGUGUCUGGUGGGUAGUUUGACUGGGGCGGUCUCCUCCUAAAGAGUAACGGAGGAGCACGAAGGUUGGCUAAUCCUGGUCGGACAUCAGGAGGUUAGUGCAAUGGCAUAAGCCAGCUUGACUGCGAGCGUGACGGCGCGAGCAGGUGCGAAAGCAGGUCAUAGUGAUCCGGUGGUUCUGAAUGGAAGGGCCAUCGCUCAACGGAUAAAAGGUACUCCGGGGAUAACAGGCUGAUACCGCCCAAGAGUUCAUAUCGACGGCGGUGUUUGGCACCUCGAUGUCGGCUCAUCACAUCCUGGGGCUGAAGUAGGUCCCAAGGGUAUGGCUGUUCGCCAUUUAAAGUGGUACGCGAGCUGGGUUUAGAACGUCGUGAGACAGUUCGGUCCCUAUCUGCCGUGGGCGCUGGAGAACUGAGGGGGGCUGCUCCUAGUACGAGAGGACCGGAGUGGACGCAUCACUGGUGUUCGGGUUGUCAUGCCAAUGGCACUGCCCGGUAGCUAAAUGCGGAAGAGAUAAGUGCUGAAAGCAUCUAAGCACGAAACUUGCCCCGAGAUGAGUUCUCCCUGACCCUUUAAGGGUCCUGAAGGAACGUUGAAGACGACGACGUUGAUAGGCCGGGUGUGUAAGCGCAGCGAUGCGUUGAGCUAACCGGUACUAAUGAACCGUGAGGCUUAACCUU
rnacentral:rRNA from 1 species